CAGGACUCGCGGUUUCCUGGCCACCUCGGGCUCGGUGGUAUGGAGACAGGGCAGCUAGUGGGGUCCGGGAGGGGCCGGAGCUGGAGGGGCCGGUCGCGGUGCCCUGUGCUGGCAAGGAGCAAGGUGUUUUGCAGGCGAGAGUGAUGAAUUCUGCGUUUAACGACGUCUCCUUGGCAUGCUACCUAAACGAUGGGCAUGGAAGUGGUGCUGAGGGAUGUGGGCGGAAUCGUGGCAUGAAUCGAGAAAGCAGGGACUUUUGUCUUUAGGGUCCUCAGAAGUUGAGAAGCUCUGGAUUGCCUCGCAUCUGAUAGAAGUUGUCACAAAAAAAUUAUCCAGCAGGAGGCACAUGACUCAGUUCUCAUCACUGGAAUGGGAAGAGGAAGCCAUUGGGACUGGGGAUUCCUGGGAUUCUGACAAUGAGUAGAUCUCAUUGUUUUGGUGUCACUCCCUCCUGCUCUGCAAAUUGACAUAAGAGAAUGUGGCCACCAUCUUUGGGCUGUGAUGCCUUAUGGCUGAGGUUGCAAACCAAUGAGUUUCAGAUGGCCAAGAAGGAUGGGAAGAAUCCAGGUCCUGGAAAACACCGUGGAACUGUCAUGCCAAUACUGGAAAUGCCUACCUUUGGACUACUAAGUAAACAGCUAGCCUUUGGUUUAAGUCUGUUAGUUUAAGUCUGUUAGGUUUUCUGUGUCUUGGAGUCAAAUACAUCCCAACUAUGAUAGAAAGUGUGAAGUAUUUGAUACAAAGUCGGCGAGCAUUUGUGAUAUUCUGAUGGGUAUCCUACUGAAUAUCCCGAGUGGCAUUUCAAAGACAUUACGGUAUUAAUUGAGCACUUACUAUGUAUAUUAUUCUAAGCUCUGGGGAUACAAAAAUAGUUUGCCAAAAGAGCUUGUAGUUAUAGACAUCAUAAAUAGAAGAGACUAACAUUAAACAACUGAUUGCUCAUUUACAUUUUAUAAUAAUCACUUAUUCAAGCUAACAAGAAAAAAUUAGAGAUUUCAAGGAUGAAAUAAUAAUAUAAGUAAUAAAAUACUAUAAAAUAUAUAACCACAUAACUGAAUAAAAUUAUAAAAGCAAAUAUUUUCAAGGACAUGAUAAUUUUGUAUAUAGUUUAUACAUGAAUUCUUAGAGGUUAAGAGAAACAAACAAGUAGGUUUAUUUUUAUUUUUAAGAUUUUAUUUAUUCAUGAGAGACACUCAGAGAGAGGCAGAGACACAGGCAGAGGGAAAAGCAGGUUCCCUGCAGGAAGCCUGAUGUGGGACUCCAUCGCAGGACCCCAGGAUCAUGAACUGAGCCAAAGGCAGAUGCUCAACCACUGAGCCACCAAGGUACCCCUGAAGUGGGUUUAAUAAAGGAAAGCUGUCUGAAGGAAAUUAAUAUGGAACCAGGUUUUGACGGAAGUAGCCAAAGAAUAGACUACAAUGGGGCAGGCUGGAACACUCUAUGUGAAAGGAACUGAGAGCAAAAGGAAGGAAGCAGGAACGAAGUAGCAGUGAAAUAUGGAAAAUACAGAUUCACUCGAUUCUUUAAUUCUCUACAGCAAUGCCAUUCUAGGGACAACUAUCAGGGGAAAAAAAAAUCAGAGACUAGAAGUCCUAAUGCAAAAUUACAAAAGAUAUAGAAAUAGUACAGAAGAAAAUAAUACAGAAGAAAAAGUAGAAAGAGUAACAAGGGUACAUUUGAAGAAGUUAGGGUAUUAUUUGAAAUGAUGAAUAAUUUAUAAUGUGGGCAUCAUGAAAGAAUUGUCAUAAGGAGUAAUUAUGGACUUGAGGACAUCAAGAAGGUGGAACUCAAACUUCCACAAGCAGAAAUAGAAAGAAAAAUGAGGGGGUAGCAAAAAAUGAAGACAGGCAGCAAAACAGUUUUUGCUUAUGGUUAUUUUUCCAUGGUAGCUGUUACUGACAUGCAUUAUGUAAAAAUGAAUGGAAUUUGAUUGAAAAGAAAAUUUUCAGUAGACCAGUAAUAUAUAAAGAUAGUCUUUUAGGUAAAUAAUGUAAUUUAGAAUGUUUUUCCUAGAAUGCCUUUUUGUACCUUGCCAUAGAAAAGUCUUUUCAGUGAGGAAGCUGUAAGGAAUAAUAUGUUACAGAUUAGUGAUGCAUUUUGGAAAUUAAAAAAAAAAAACCAUAGAUGUGCCAAAUGUAAUCAUAUAGCAACAAAUAAUAAAUACUUAUAACAAAAAUCAGAAGUUUGUCAGA